rnacentral:rRNA from 1 species
UACAGAGGGGGCAAGCGUUGUUCGGAAUUACUGGGCGUAAAGGGCGCGUAGGCGGCCCGCUAAGUCGGACGUGAAAUCCCUGGGCUCAACCCAGGAACUGCGUCCGAUACUGGCAGGCUUGAAUCCGGGAGAGGGAUGUGGAAUUCCAGGUGUAGCGGUGAAAUGCGUAGAUAUCUGGAGGAACACCGGUGGCGAAGGCGGCAUCCUGGACCGGUAUUGACGCUGAUGCGCGAAAGCCAGGGGAGCAAACGGG